rnacentral:rRNA from 1 species
CCUACGGGAGGCAGCAGUGAGGAAUAUUGGUCAAUGGGCGCGAGCCUGAACCAGCCAAGUAGCGUGAAGGAUGACUGAUCUCCGGGUUGUAAACUUCUUCUAUAAAGGAAUAAAGUGAGGCACGUGAGCAUUAAUGUACGUACUUUAUGAAUAAGGCACGGCUAACUCCGUGCCAGCAGCCGCGGUAAUACGGAGGAUCCGAGCGUUAUUCGUAUUUAUUGGGUUUAAAGGGAGCGUAGAUGGGUUGUUAAGUCAGUUGUGAAAGUUUGCGGCUCAACCGUAAAAUUGCAAUUGAUACUGGCAGUCUUGAGUACAGUGUAGGUAGGCGGAAUUCGUGGUGUAGCGGUGAAAUGCUUAGAUAUCACGAAGAACUCCGAUUGCGAAGGCAGCUUACUAAACUGCCACUGACAUUGAUGCUCGAAAGUGUGGGUAUCAAACAGGAUUAGAUACCCCGGUAGUC